GCAUGCAGCACAUCAUGUCUGUGGGAUUGAUAAAGAAAGCUGACCCCAGGCCCAAAGACCGGGUCUUAAUCAAGUUAAUAAUCAUAUCAAGGCCUUAG